rnacentral:lncRNA from 1 species
GUUUGGAGAAGACAAGAUGGCGCCGGUUACCUCGUGUUAUAUCAAAGGGCAUUUUUGUUCACAAAUACCCGCUUAUUUUACGUUAUAGCGACUGGUUCGUUUUGGAAAUUAUAACUCAAUGGACGGGGAAAACGAUUCUGUAUUAAAGAGAAAAGGAUGUGCAGUUAUUGUGAUGUUAUUUGUUGUGAAAGACGGCCCGAAAUUUCGCUACAUCGCAGUACUGGUUUAUAAAAAAAUUACAAGCAACAGCAAUUGAACUAUAUGACAAAGAAACCAAUGUAUACAAGCCAAUCAAGUUCUUCAGUUUAAAGGUCAGUUUACUUUUUAAUAAUUAGUUCAUUUAGUUAUAUAUUAAUACGAAGUAUAGGGCCAUUCCAUUUAAUAUCCACACCCUCCUGUUGACUAGAUUUAACGAAGUGGGUUUGAAAUUUUGAAUUUCUGAGGGUGUGCCAAGUUGAAAUUUCCGAGGGGGUUUGUGAAAGGAAAAUUUCUUAAGGUGUCAACAUUUUUGUAAUUUUCCAAGGAGUUACAAAAUUUUUUUAAAUUUCUGAGGGGGGAGGAGGAAGGUAUACCUGUUGACGAAAAUUUCUGAGGGGGUGGUAAAUAAUUCCAAAAAAUUUCUGAUGGGGUCUAUCAUAGUGGAACCACGUCAACAGUUAUUUCCGAGGGGCUCGAGAAAAAUUGUAAAUUUCCGAGGGGGUUCUAAAAAAAUAGCGAAUUUCCGAGGGAGGCUUACAGAAAACCGUUUCUGAAGGGGCCUAAAAUCAGAAACCUCGUCAACAGGGGGUGUGGAUAUUAAAUGGAAUGGCCCACUGGAUGCUAGUAAAAACUUUUUAAUAAUUAGUUCAUUUAGUUGUGUAUUAAUACGAAGUACUGGAUACUAGAUAAAUAGUUCUUUUAGUUGUAUAUUAAUCCGAAGUACUACUACUUGUGUUGCCACGCAUAACAUUGAAUUGAUGUUAUCACCAGUACCCACCUCAGAUAACGUUGAUUGUUACCCUGUCGUAUUUUGACCGCUAAAAGAGCUCAAAAUCAAAAUGGCAACUGAAAUAUGGUGUAUAAUCAAUCAAUUUAUCUCAGAAAUGCAUUAAAAUGCUGAGGCUUCAAUUCAAAGUUAUUCACUAUAUUUGUACGUAAUUGACCGGUAUUUGACACAAAACGUCGCUUCAAUACUUCAACCUUUGUUUUGGCUUUGGUUUUCUAUUCGUUGAAAAUAAUAUAAUACUGGCAAAAGUGCACGGCAAACAUGAAAUAUUUCAACUUUGGUCUGUUCGGAUGUAAAUAGUCAAAUUGCUAGAAGAUAAUGUCGAUUCUACGUAAUGUGUGGCAACAUGAAUAUGGACCUGGUCCCUUAACGAGUUUGAUUUGCUAUUUGUAUAAACAGACCCCAACCCCUUCUCUAACCCUAACCAAUGAAUGUGUAAUGAACUAUUGAGAGUUAAAAAGGUUUGGUGGGAUUUUAAAAUAUUUAAAAAAAAAUUUCUAUGGGGCUGAAUAUGGAAGCUGGGUUGGCCCGCCAAACGAGACAGUCCGGUAAGCGGGAUGAAUUUUGCUUGCAUUUAUAUGAGGAGAUUUUAUGCUGCUUGCCAGGCUAGAAAUUGUUUACAUUGCACUCAAUUGGUAUUGCCAGAACAAAUUUCAAAAUUAAUUUUUGCUUCAAGACUCGCUAUUUUGUAAACAUUACAGCUAUUGAAGGACAUUGCAACCUUUUGUUUUGUCUUUUUUACCUAUGUAAUGUCAAGAACUAUAAAAAUAGUUGCAGAAAAGACUUCAAACUAUUGAAAAUGUUUCAUCCCAGCAACCGGGCCAUCCCAUUUGUGAGUGUUUAUAUGGGGAAAUUUUCACCCUGGUUGUCCAUAUAAACGCACAGGAAUUUUUACUAUAAAUUCUACUACACAGCGAGAUCUUGCUAAGGCGUAAGAAAAAAUACCUGUGGUUCUGGUUUCAUAUCGUGAAAAAAUUAGGGUCGGUAGGUCGGAAAUAAUAAAUUUUUUUAAAAUAUUAUUUUCAUGGUUUUGGUGGUUUUUUGCUGGGUGAUUUGCAGUAGAGUCCCGACAUCAAUAUUAACUAGAGAUGCGUAUUUCCUAUGGACGAAUUUAGGCAAUUUGGUUCAAUAAUUAGUGUGACAACAAACGCCAUUUUGGCACGCUGUAUGAGCAGCCCGCAACCACCUGGAGAAAAUAAGGUCGCACGGUCAAUCGUGCUGAAAAAAUAAUAGGGUCGGCAGAAGAAAUAGGGUCGGUCGGGAACCGGAACCACAGGUAUUUUUUUUACGCCUAACCGGGCUGUCUUGCCAAGUGGGCCAGUCUAGCUCCAAUAUAAACAGCCCCUAAAUCAAACAGAAAUCGACAGCUAAAACAAAACCUGAUCCCCGACCUUGUUUCACUUUGCAUGCAUGCAACGCCUUUGCUGAAUACACUACCAGCCUGAAUUUAGAGUGGAUCGAUAUCGCAAAUAUCGAUAUUCCGCCAUCAGAAUACUGGUAAAUACCGGUAUUUUUAACGUGCUUUUUUUAAGCCAAACUGAACUACUGACCGUCGAGAAAAAUCAAGUUUUGACAAAAUAUUAAUGUGGCACGUACUGUUAUAAGUGCAAAUGUCACGAGAUUCGCAUUAUCAAGCUAUGUUAACGGUGCUAAGCAGCAAUUAUUAGUAGGGCGUCGAAGUGUUGAAUUUGUGAGUUCAGUAUUAACAUUGCUUUCUAAACGUGAUGGUAAGCAAGUUUGACUUGAAAUAGCGUUUCAAUUCGGUAUUAGGCAGCAAAAUACCGAAAUGUCGGUAUAUCGGUAUUUUUAAAUUGUCAAUAUCGCCAAACCGGCAUCUAAACAAAUACCGGAUAUACAAAUACCGGAUAUACCCGGUAUAUAGAUCCACUCUACCUGAAUUGCUGAAAGCUAUUGCAAAAACCUAUUUUAUAUUACUACUUUACAAAAUGUAAGAACCUGACACCAUCCCUGCGACUUUGUGUCGUCUAUCUAGACGGUACGAUUAUUGUAUGCGACUUUUCCAACCGAGAGAUAUAUUAGGACCCUCCUUCUACUUUUUUUACACUUUGCCUUGGUCACAUUUUGAACAAGAGGCGUGCCAAUUUCGCUUUCUCUCAUCUCAUUGUUGAUGUCCGCCAUUUUGAACUAUUUUUUCAUAAAAAUGUAUGAAAGUCGCAGGAUUUUAAAACAAGUUUAAAAUAUUUACGACUUUUUUGUGUUGCAUACAACUGUCGUAAGCAAGUUUUAGGGCUAUCUACACGGCACGAUUCGUGUCGCAGGGAUGGCAUCAGCAAGUUGCAUACAACAAUCGUCAUGGGCGUACGGGAAGGAAAAAAUAAGGGGGUGGAAAGAAAUUUGCCCGACUUUGUCGGAUUGUGCCGCAGUUGUCAAAAAAAAUUUCCGGAGAAACUUUCCAAAAUUGUUGUCGCUCCAAUUGUUUAGCUCCAUUUUUUUAAGCAUUUUAUAAAACGUAUGCUAUGUAUGUGCUAAGAAGCUAGUUUUGUUGGCAUGUGGAAAGCAAAAUAGCGAAGGUAAAGAGAUUAAAAUUGGAUUUAGUGCAUAUUUUUGAAAAAUUUUACCACCAAAUAUGGUANNNNNNNNNNNNNNNNNNNNCCGUCCAUGCCACUUGUGACGUCGGGUACAUACGGGACUUUGGGGGCGGGUUUUGGCGGGAAAAUCUGUAAUGUUUGGAGAAGACAAUAUGGCGCUGGUUACCUCGUGUUAUAUCAAAGGGCAUUUUUGUUCACAAAUACGCGCUUAUUUUACGUUAUAGCGACUGGUUCGUUUUGGAAAUUAUAACUCAAUGGACGGGGAAAACGAUUCUGUAUUAAAGAGAAAAAGAUGUGCAGUUAUUGUGAUGUUAUUUGUUGUGAAAGACGGCCCGAAAUUUCGCUACUUCGCUGUACUGGUUUAUAAAACAUUUACAAGCAACAGCAAUUGAACUAUAUGACAAAGAAACCAAUGUGUACAAGCCAAUCAAGUUCUUCAGUUUAAAGGUCAGUUUACUUUUUAAUAAUUAGUUCAUUUAGUUGUAUAUUAAUACGAAGUACUGGAACAGUACGCCGAGUUUGAUUUGCUAUUUGUACUGACUACUGUAGUCGGAAUAUUUAUGCACCUAUCAAUGUUCAGCCCGAGGGGAGGCGGGGAGGGCGGGCGUCAAUAGGGGAUUUGAAUUUUUGUUGAAAUGUUUUGUCAAACAUCCCGUAUUUCAGAGCUUGUCAAACUCAUCAAAAUGCUGGUCAAACUCAUCAAAAUACCCCGGUUAUUUCUUUGCUUCCUGUUCAAAUGGGUUGUUCCAGAAAAUAUCCAUACCCCCAAGCUGUCCGAAGGGGGAGUGAGGAAAAUUGUCUUAGGAUGUCCGGGGGGGGGGGAGGAAAUGCGGAUAUAAGUUUGUCCGAAGGUUUUAGACAGUGAUAAAGCUAUGUGAUUGGCGAUAAUUAUAAUGAGCACGCAAUUUUUAUCAGGUAUAGCCCUUAAAAACCGGAACGUUUAUGUAACAGCAAUAAUUAUACGUCCACGUAACUCGUAAGCAAAAUAAGCGGCCCAAAAUAAGCGGCAUGCAUGGCCACGGAAAACUAACUCGCUGUAACAGUGUAUCCUGCAUGUUGAGAAUGAGUCGAAAAUUUACACACUUUAUUUAUAUAAAAGUAAAGUUUUGCAGUUUUCAUAUGUAUAAGUUUGAAUUAUUCAAGUGUUAAAAAUAAUAGUUAUUAAACUGUUGCUUGAAUUAAGAGACUGCUAUGUGAACUGAACUCAAUAUUUCGAAUAUUUAGUUUCAGUAUAUAGUCAAUAAAGCUUCCUUGCGAGGUGCGUGCCUAGAAAAUAGAAAUGGCUGUCAUAUUAAGGGCGAGUAAUACUAAAAAAUGCAUUAGGGCAAUUUUACGUUGCGGACGUUACAUUCACAGGAAAACAAUUAAUACAAAACAUGCUCUGUUUCCUGUUUGCAACAGUUUCAGAUCUGGGAACUUUGUCAUAGAAAACCUUACAGUCAAAUCCGGUUCGCCUUUGACCUAAACAUUGCUAUAAUGAUAUACAAUUUUGCAAUUUUGAUUGACAUUUGUGUCGUGCAAUUUCCAACUGUCGAGGUAAAUUGCUAUUUGCUAAUUGCAAAUUUGCCGCAAUUUUCAUCUCACUCUAAGAGCAGACGGACAACUUUUAGUCAAUGAUUUAGGGAUAGAUACGCGAGUGUUUUUCUUGAAAAACCUAUUAAAGAAUACAGAUUACUUGUCGAACGUAUUAAAUCUGCAAUACCUUGUUUCAACAAAUUGCACGACGACGAAAUUCGAAUUGCAUAUAAAGAUGUUCAUUCAGGAUGUUUCAUAAAUAUUCAUGCAAAUGUUGAUGAACAAUUUCACCUAACAGAUACAUUCAACAACGUAUUUACAGUUUGAGCAUACGAUAGAAUUACAGUAAUUUGAAAGUUUGUAGAAGUGAUUCACCGUUUAUACAUAUUAGAAAGAAAUCGUUAAUUCGCGACGAUCUCAACGAACCUACGUUUUGUUCGAGUGUAAAUAACAAGGUGAGACCGAUUGCCGCUUUCACGGAAAAUGAUGAUACAAGUACGAGUACUGUACGUCUGCCCUUCCCAAACAAAUUAAUUUUACAGCAGAUUUGUCCGAAGUUCAAGGUGGAAAAAAAACAAUCGCAAUAACAAUCCUUGUUACGCCCCCGUUUACACGUCUUAUUUUACCUGUAAUUCUAUCGUAUGCUCCAACUGUAACAACGUUGUUGAAAGUAUCUGUUAGGUGAAACUGUUCAUCAACAUUUGCAUGAAUAUUUAUGAAACAUCCUGAAUGAACAUCUUUAUAUGCAAUUCAAAUUUCGUCGUCGUGCAAUUCGUUAAAACAAGGUAUUGCAGAUUUAAUACGUUCGACAAGUAAUCUGUAUUCUUUAAUAGGUUUUUCAAGAAAAACACUCGCGUAUCUAUCCCUAAAUCAUUGACUAAAAGUUGUCCGUCUGCUCUUGGAGUGAGAUGAACUUGCGGCAGAUUUGCAAUUAGCAAAUAGCAAUUUACCUCGACAGUUGGAAAUUGCACGACACAAAUGUCAAUCAAAAUUGCAAAAUUGUAUAUCAUUAUAGCAAUGUUUAGGUCAAAAGCGAACCGGAUUUGACUGUAAGGGGACCUCUUAAUAUUUCAUAAAAUAAAACAAAAUUCCCUCGUAAUCACUUUUUGUAAUAAAAAGUCAAAGUACUGUUGCGGACAUUACAGCAAAAUCAACCACACAUUGAAGUGAUGUUCUUAAAAUGUAAUUUCCUGUGAAUUUUGAAAGGUAUCACAGGAACUAAAACACUGCCUGCUCUCAGUGAUACUUGGGGUUAAAAAAUAUGAAAACGAGAUGUUCUACAAUGCCCUUGCGCAGCUUCUAUAGUGCAAAGUUUGUGUUGCGGACAUUACACUGAAACUGUUGCGGACAUUACAUUUUUGGGAUUGUAUAGCAAUCUGUAUUAAAAAUAAUAGGAAAUCAAAACUGGGUGACUGAUUAUGCACUUCAAUGUUUCUAGUCUACAUAACAGGCAUUCUAGCUUAAUUAUGCCCGGGCGUACGGGGGGGGCGUAGAGGGCGGCAGCCCCCCCCCAGUUUGUUGGGCUAUCAAAGCCAGUCGGGCAAUAUUCGCUUCACAGUCGGGCAAUAUUGGCUUAUUAUAAAAAUAAAUGGGACAAAUUCUGUCAAUUUUGUGGGGAAUUCUGUCAAUUUUGUGGGAAAUAUGCUAUCUCCGGAAAAAAUUUUUUUGACAACACGGGCACAAUCCGAAAAAGUAGGGCAAAUUUCUUUCCUUCCCCCUAAUUUUUUCCUUCCCAUACGCCCAUGUGUAUACCAACAAAUCCUGGCAUGAAAUCAUGGUCACAUAUAUUACAGUAUAUAAUCUUCUGUUGACAAUAAUAUCUUUCAAAAGUGCAAUAUUUGUUGUGCAUUGACUCAGGCAAUGACUCGGGUUGUGCAGCAAAAAAGUGUCAUGUUUGUGGACCAUUCUAUUUGACAGUUUUGCAUUUACUACAUUUGGUGGGGAUAAUUAACACCCCUGACUUUAGUGGAAGAUGAUCAAAACAAACAUGAACUAAAACAUGAUUUUGCGCUUAACAACAUAUGCCUUACAAAACUGAUGGUACAAUGGCAGUAUAUGGUAGUGGCAUUAUAUGUAACUUGGAAACUUUCCAUGAUGAAUUGUGUCACUGUGAUUGUGUAUACACAACGGAGUGAUUAUAGCUAAAAGUAGGGUCCCAUAGUCCUUUUAAUGUUCUAUUUUUAAGUCAUCAAGCUUAAAAUAACUAUAGAAUUCAAGCAAGACAAUUAAUAAUAAGCAUCUAAUUCUCCAAGUUCAAAAUGUAAUGUCCGCAACGUAAUGUCCGCAACACAUUAUUCAAGACAUGUUAAUACUUUUUAUUGUCUUUUUUCAGUCUAAAAUAAUGUUAAUACCAUUUUAAAAAAGCAGAACAAAUAUAAUGUCAAAAGAGCUAGACGUUUGGCUGAAAAAUAAAUUGAAUUGUUUUUUUUGUUGCGGACAUUACAUUUCUCUUACCCAAACUCUGAUGCACCAUAAAUCAUAGCAACACUGGAUAUUAUCUGAUCUAACAUUGUUAUCAUGAUAUUUGAACCUUAGACUGUGUUUGUUAAGAAAUAUAACUUAUUUCAAAGUUAAAGUGACUGAGAUAUAAUUAUUUUAAAUGAACACACUUUAUCCACAGAACAAUAGCAACAAACAAGUGCAGGUUCAAUGACUUGCCGCAGAGUGGGCAUGCGGCAAAAUUCAAAAAUCGUUUUGAUUUAUGAUAAUCCAAUGUGUUAACUAUGGAAACAUGUGGUUAGCACCACAUAAUUUUGCAAUUUUGCCAUUUUCAAUGUCUCAUGUGAAAUUGACCAUUAACAUGUAAGUAAACACAGCAACCCUUGUCAAUCAGUCGCAAGUUACAUUGAAUUUCAGUCCGAAUUUUACUUGAUCGAAUUUCGAAGUGAAUUUCUGCAAAUUAUCCGACAAAAUCUGCCAUGUAUUUCAGUAUUUGUGUUCACAAGAAGCCUCCAAGUGUUCCACCACGCCGGAGCUAUUUGAAAACAGCGUAGAAAAGUCACAAUAAGCCAUCGCUUUCACACUACGCUGGAGCGAAAUUGUUUGAAAACUUUCACAUCACGUUUGCCGUAACAAUUUGAGCACGGUUUCUAAACUGAGCGAGGUGAAAACGGAGCGCUUGAUAGCUUUGUGUGAACACAAACGUGUAAACUUGAAUGCUUUUCUGUUAAAUUUCUUGGCUCUAUUUGAAAUAUUUUGGGUUUACAUGAGUGCUAAUUUAAUUUGUAAACACUGUAGGGGGUAUGGAUCUUUUCUGGAAUGACCCAAUCACAUAAUUUCUGCGCCUUCACUAUGAUUGGCCGAAAGUGCCUAAAUUUCCAAUGAAAACAUUCGCAUUUCCACUUGACAACAUUUGAAUUUGCCCUUGGUAACUUGUGUGUUUCAACGAUCAACUUGUGCGGCAAAACUUCCUGUCUCUAAGCUCAACUGCAAAUCACAGUAUUUGCAACCUUUUGUUUUGUCAUUUUUACCUAUGUAAUGUCAAGAACUAUAAAAAUAAUAGCAGAAAAGACUUCAAACUAUCGAAAAUGUUUCAUCCCUGUUACAUUUUUUACAUCUCACCCCUAAGGAAAUUGCAUUUGAAAUAACCAACCCCUGAAGAAUUCCACAGGAGAAUUUGUUUACCCAUGAGGAAUUCCUGAGUUAAAAAGGGAGGUUAUGGAUAUGGAAUAGCCCAAUUUUCUGGAAAAUUUAGCCCAAUUUUCUGGAGAAUUUCCUGGUUUUCCCUGCAGCUUGUUUAUAAACAUGAUGAUAAUUUUCCAGAAUUCUUGUCUGGUUCAAUAGAAAUUUUAUUUUCCAAAGUUUUGAAAUAAACAGAAGUGCAUGGGCCGGUUGUAUCAAGCCCAUUUAGCUUAAACGGUGGUUAAUUAAAUUAAGCUCAAAAUAGAAAGCACGUCUAUAGAUUCAUUCAACAACCAAACUAAAAGUUUUGAACCUUAAUAGCGUUCUAUUAUCGUUAUAAUGUUUACAACUACAUAUUCAGUGCAGAAUAUUUAAGUUGACUGAUUCACGAGAGAAAAGAGUGUUAUUUAAUUUUGACUUAUCCACCGUUUAAGCUAAACAGGCUUGAUACAACCGGCCCCUGAUGUACCCAAACCAAAACAGGUGGUUAAAUUUUAACCCACAGGUAGCACUAUAACUAAAGCUUUGAACAACCGGCAGUUUUGAACAACUGGCCCCAGCUGCCGAUUGUUCAAAGCUGGGUUAGCUUAACCCUAUAAUUUAACAACUAAAAUUCAAAGCAAACUUCCUGACAGCUUGUGUAUAAAUUUGGAAAUAUUUGUUUAGAGAUCUUGUCUGGAUUGAUAGUAGUUUACUUCUCUGAAGUUUUGAAAUAAACAGACGUGCAGAAAUACACAAACUAAAACAGCAGGUUAAAUUUUAACCCAGGGUUAGCACUAACCCACCUUUGAACAAACCGGCCCCAGAUGUGUAACUUAACAGGACUUUGUGUCCUCAAAUUUCCCUGGAUGCUCAUGCCAUGACACUUGUUAGGAACUGGAAGAUGGUGUCUGGAAAACAAACUUUUGCAUUUUAUUGCAGCUUUUUUUAUUGAAAUUUAUAGAUUAAACAAUCAAUAGCAUCAUUUGUUGAAAGCAAUUAAAGUUGUAGAAAAGGUGUUGAAAGCAUUUUUUGAAAGCAAUGGCGUAUUAUCAAAUGACAAAUUAUCAUGCGAGCGACACUUGCUAGGAAGAUGGCAACUGUGGGACAACUAUAUAAUAGUUUUGUUUGUGGAAACACCACAUAAAUUUAUUACUGCAAAGCUUUUGAUCCGUAAGCCCGGAUAAUCAUCAGUGCUAAUAAUAUGUGACUUGUUUAAUUCACACGCCCUUUUUAUGUACAAAAAAUGUCGUGAUCUGUUGGCUCACAUAUUAUUAAUUAACACUGAUGAAAAUCCGGGCUUACGGGUCGAAAGCUUUGCAGUAAUAAAUUUACGUGGUGUUUCCACAAACAAAACUAUUAUAUGUUUUAUGCAAACAUAUAAAGAACUUAUUGUGGGACAACUUUUUUACUGAAGUUAUACAUCUGUUCUCAGCUGGCUAGAUCUUGAUUCUUGCCUGUGGUCCCCCUCUUUGCAUUUGACCCAAAUGUUUCGGUCAUUUUAUAUUUGCCAAUAUAAAUCUUAUUGGCCUAGAAAUUAUACAUUUGGAAUAAUAAUUUUGUAUGCUGCAUUCAAUCUAUUCUCCAUUCAGGGAGAUUCUUUUGUAAAUACCCACACCAAUCAGAAGUCUGUAUUUUUAUGCUAAAACAGAAAUCGGCAUCCCAGAGAGUAAAUUAUAUUCAAGUUUAGGGCAUGUUGCAGCUCUAUAUCUUGCCGUUGCAAGUUGCGUUGCGUUUGAUGUUUGUUCUGGGAUAAAAUAUUGAAUUAUACCUUAAAUUAAUGUUUUGUGAAAUUUAGUUAAAUUAGUAGAGAGAUGAAUGCAUAAAGCAUAGGGUAUUUUGAAGCUAAAUUUGUUUUAAAAUUUGUCAUUUCAGUGAAAUGGUGUGGAACACAAUGCGUUCUUUUCUGCUCGUCUUAGUUGUUGCAAGGAGACAUCUGGCAUUGUAAUGAAUGGAUGACGAUGUGUCGCUGGCAAACCUACACCAUGUGCAUUUUCUUGGUGGAUAUCUUGGGCAAAUGUGCAAUAUGAUGAGGGAUAUCUUGGGCAAAUAUCUUGUGUAAAUUGGUACAAUUACUUACCUUAAAUUACUAAAGAAGGAUGAUGUUUUAAGGUUAGU